rnacentral:lncRNA from 1 species
AUGCGAGGAAGUGACCCUCGGCCGGACCGCGCGCCCCCGCCGCCGCCGGCCCCGCGGACGCAGGCAAAAGUUGGGGCGCGGGCGGCGCUCGGGGCGCGGGUUCGGGGCCCGCGGGCGGCGGUGGAGGCGGGGGCGGCGGCGGCGGCGGCGACACGGCCCGGGCGGCGCUGCGCUCCUGCGCCCACCCGGCCCCCGGCCCCCGCCCGCGCCCCGCGCCCCGCACACGCCCAACUCCUCGCUCCCAACUCCUCGCGCGGCCCCGGCCCCGGCCCCGGCCCCGGCCCCUGCCCCGGCCCCGGCCCCGGCCCGGAGCGAUUUCCUGCCGCCGCCCCUCCCGGAGGCGCCCGGCGAACUCUCGCGCUCACCGGGUCGGUCGGGAGGCUCCUCCGCUGCCCCGCGCCGAGGGCACAGCACAACGCAGGACGGGCUCCGGAGUUGGCUCGGCGGCCGCGGCCGGGGGGCUCAUCCACGGGCGCGGAGUUGGCCGGCGCGGACGGGGCUCUGGCGAGUUUCAGGGUCUCCGGGUCCCCGGGCCGCCUCCUCAGCGGCGCUCCUUUGUGUAAUUCCACUCGAUUCAAGUUUAAUCCGAUAGUUCCCGAGCACGAGCGCGUCCGCACUACCGCGGCUCAGCCCCCGCGCCGCCGCCGCCGCCGCCGCCGCCGCCGCCACCGCUGCCGCCGCCGCCGCCGCCGCCGCCGCCGCGGCCCCAGCACGCCAGCGCCUGCGCGCGCCCGGCAGCCGCGCGUGCCCGAGGCCGCGGGGCCGCGCGCGCCCGCCGCCGGCUCCCUCCGCGCCGCGCCCGCGCCCGCGCCCCCGCCCGCGCCCCCGCCCGCGCCCCCGCCCGCGCCCGCGCGCCGCCACCUGACGUCAGGCGCGCCUGGCAUAAUUUAUGCAAGAAUUCGGCCGGGGUGGCGGAGGCCGAGGGAGAGGCCGAGGGAAAAGGGGCGGCGCGGGGCUGCGGGGCGCGGGCGCGGAGGGCGGGCCGGGCGCCACUUCCCGUCCCCGGGCGGGCGCCGGCGCUGCGGGCGGUGCUCCCCCGCGGGCCGGUGCGCGGCCGCCGCGCAGCCUCCCUGGCGGGGCCCCUCCGAGCGCCCGGCCGCCGCGCAGCAAGCAGCGCCCCGGGCGCGGGCCGCCGACGGUGCCACGUUUCCCCGCGCGGCAGCUUCCCGGAGCCCGGGUGCGCCGCCCCGGGGCAGGCAGGGGCAGGCAGGGGCGCGGGCCGCGGGCCGCGGGGCUCCGGGACGGCGGCGGGCGCCCCUCCUGCGACCAUGCUUCCACCUGGAGUGA